GUGCUGCAAGUGACCUGUCCGUGCUCUCUCUGGGACAAGAGCCCAUGGGCUGUGAUCUCUCCUGCAACAAAAAAGCAAUCAGGCUGGUACAGCGAGCAUGCUCCCUGUCCUCGGGGAGGCACAGUGAGGCUGGCAUCACCUGGCCAUGGACCAGGGAAUCCCCCUUCGCUGUGGGACAGGUAAAUGCCCAGGCAGGAGGGAACACAGCAGCAGGCUUUGACUGUUCUCAGCACCUCUACUGAUCUUGCACAGCUCUGCGCUGCAGCCCCUAUUGAAGGGACGUGCCGGUCAAGGAUCUGCUGCGCUGGGUUUUGUUUCUGGCCGUGGAGCUGGAUUAAUUUGCUCAUGUCCCCUUGCAGCCAGUACCAACCUCUGCAUCUCCAGGUGAGAGCUCAGGUGAGACCAAAGGCCUCAGCUCCCCCACACCCAAAGCUCCAGCAGACCUCGCUGGGUGCAGUGGCUCUGAUGCUUCUGACAUUUCUUUUGUGACCCCAGGGGCAGGAGAUAUUCAGUGCUUCUGCAGGGAGAGUUUGGGCAAACUGUUAGCAUAUCUUGAGGUUACUGGAAAUCAGGGCGUGG